rnacentral:misc_RNA from 1 species
AACGCUAAUAAAAAGAAGUGGGCCGUUUACGACGAUCUGGCAGUCAGUUAAUCCGUCGGUUUGUACCUUAUUGGUUGUUCAGCCUAUUUGCUUGGGAAAAGUUUGUCAGAUAUGCGGUAGUGCGGAAAUUUGUGAUUCACUCUUACUUGUAAUCUUUCUUAAUCGCCUGUCGUCUUCGGAUGGGAUGCUACUAGUGGACGUAAGCUGUCUACUGAAAGGGCACUGUUCUUAAUGAAUAAUUUCGAGUUGAAGUACACCGUUCCAUGCCUUGAUGGGCACAUGUUACUCAAGUAAGAGCAAGUCAGCAUCACAGCCGUACUCCUCUGCUCCCAUGUCGGCUUCCUCUUCGCAAGAUAGCGCGCUACGUCUACCACGUGCCACUCCUUACACCAGGGGAACAGUUGCACCUACAGAUACGUCGGAGGUGAACUUCCGACGUUGUAUUCCUCCCCCUACUAAAUACCGUGCCAACACUUUACAGUCCGGAAAUCUGCAAGGCAAAGCCAAUGCUACAAUUACAACAGACUUUGCGGAGAAGAGCAGGAGAGCUGUGACUGACAAUGCUGAUGUGAACAAUCCCAGCUUCAAUAACAACUUUGAGGAUGGAAGCUCGUCCCAAGAUUUCACAAACCUUAAGAAGGAUGUCAUUGAUAGUGGUACACAUAAUGUAACAGACAGUUGCUCAUUGCAGCUUAGAACAGAGGGGGCCAAGGCAUCUUCAGAGAACUCUGAACGCAUACAAUAUGGAGCCACCAAAAUCCCAACCAAGAUUACAGCACACCUUAGUGGGCUUCCUAAGCCUCAGGUUGCUGUUGUUACAACCAGAGUGCCACCUGUACCACAGCGGGCUACGAGUGAGAAGUUACAUGCAGCAGCUCGUAUCUCUAACCAACCAGUGGGAGAAGCUGCAGAAAAGCGGGCUGGUUGCCAGCACCGUGUGUCGCCGGACAAGGAAAGCAUUUCAGACAGGAGCCACAGCGGAGACAGCGGUAGCACCGACUACGACUCUGGUCUGGGCCACUCUCUGAGUGACCCACCUGCUGGCAGUGAGAGUGGCGGGAAGGCUCAGAGCAGCAGCACGACGCUACAGGUGGAGUCGUCGCCUGUUCUCAAGGAGGCGGUGGGUGUAGAAAAUGAGUUGGACUCGGCUGUGCUGCCCACAACGCUCCCCGUUGGAGCACAACUGGCUACAGUCGAUGGAACUGCCUCCAAGAUGGGUGUGUAUGACCAGCCGGACUCCUACGCGGCAUACCGGGGAAUCCUGUCUUAUCGGCGCAUCACUCCGCUAAAAAAAUAUUCAGAGGCUCCUCAGUGGAAGCGAACUGUUGAACCAAAGAACACAAAGGGUUUCAGUAGCCCAACUAGGGCUGUCAUUGCCAAGGGAAUACUGACCAAGGGUGCCAAGGCAGCUCAUGCAGCAAAGGAUUGCUCACCAGAGCGGAAGAGAGAGGGAGUUGCAAAAGGAGCUUCUCUGCCGUCGGCUCCACUCAGCCCAAGCAAGGAAGAGAAAAGUGCUGGGUUCCUCAGCCCCACGUCAGAUGGAUUCUUAAUCGAUGAUGAUAUCUCUGAUCAGCCAGGGCUGAUCGCCCUGGAGCGGUCUCGAGGAAGAGGGGCACCGUCAGUGAAGAAGUCCAUCUUUGAGCUGCAUGCUCUACAGUCAUUUAGUGGACGACAGACUAAAGUUGACCGAACAUUGGAUGACCUCCACCCCUUAUGUUCUGAUGCUGGAUCAUCUUGUUCAAGCCUGGGUUCUGAUGACCUUAUGCUGGACUUUGAAACUAGCACAUGCAAGGAUUCCGCAGAAGUUGCAUCCAGUCCUGUUAAAUAUGCUGGAACACAACUGAGAAGGGUCGCACGUCCAUCUCUUGCUUCCCAAGCAGAAAAGAGGAACUCGUGGGACAGUAAUCACUCGGAUGAAGGGGCAGCCUUGCGCCGAGCAUCUGACUCUCUCUCAUCUCGAUGGCCACUGAAAACGCCAUCCAGUGGUGCUACUGCAGGUGAAGCACGUCCGCGCACUGUCAGCUUGCCACUGCGGCCACCUCGUCAGGUGGUGAUGCAGGAGUGUGAUGAUGGCAGUGUGAAGUUAGACUCAUCUUCAUACCGGUCAGUGUGCCAGGACCUCAAUGGACUGAAGACAAUGCUCCUCAAGCUACGCCGCAUACUACAGGAUGCUGAAACACUAAACCCCUUUGAACUCUCAAACACUAAGAACUAUUUCUAUCAUGCACUGGCUAGUACUGAUCUGCCUCAUGGUUUUGCACACACCCCAACUGGUGAUACGCCUGAUUUCAACCCCAUUGAUCCGAGUGAUGUUAUGCAGGAAAAUAUGGACCUGAAGCGACAACUUAUUUUAAUGCAGCAGCAGUUGGAAGACAAGGACCGCACAAUUCACCUUCUUCAGCAGCAGAUGACCAAGUACAUGGAUAUUACAAAUGUUGAAAAGGAUCCUGUUAAAGCCAAUGCUGCAGUACAGACAGAAAGGCCAAAAUUUCUUCAAAGCAUCUCAUCUUCGGAAGAGGGUUCUUCUCAGGGGCGUUUAGUCAGUUCUGAUAUGAAGAACGCCCUUGACGAGCAUUUCAAGUCGAGUUCCAUUUGCCAUGCAGCUUUUCGUGACAAGAUUGAGGAUGUGUCCAAGAGCCUGAGCAACAUUACACAGGCUUUGCGGCUGCACAGUUCAAAGCCACACCUGCCUAGCAGGUCUCAGUCAAGUUGGGAACUACUUUCGCAAGCUAAUAAGUAGUUUAGUUGGUGCCAGUUCAGCUGCCUAUGGUGUAUGUGUUCCCAGGGAUGUGUUUUCUAGAGGUCAUCUCUUUCUGUUUAUAUAUUUUACUUUUUUAGAUUUAUUUAUAUUUCAACAUGGCGUUAUGUUUCAUUCACGAAUUUGGUUUUGUAAUAUAAUGUGCUCACAAGUUCUUGAACUUGACAUAUGGACCAUUGCAGUUUGGUGUCAGCCAAAGAAGUUCCACUUUAUAUUAGUAUGAGCGGUGAUUAAAAAAAAUAAUAAGUGGCAUAGCUGCCAAUCUGCAUCACCUUUUAUUUGGACCAUUUGCAAAGUUCAUGUUGCAGGGAUUGCUAUGAAUAGAAUGACUGAACGUAAUGACUUUUUGGGCAUUUGGCUAUUGUAGUAAUUUCUCCAGUGGCACCAAAUGUGCAUUCACUUUGCCAGUUGUGCGUGGGUGCUUGGUACUUCAGGGGAAUUAACUACUGUAGUGUUUUGCCUAUUGUGCAGUGUUAAAGGACUGUAUUACGGUUUUAUGGCACUGUCUUUAUGGAUGGGCCAAAUGUUUCAUGUUGCAUUAUUUGGCCAACCACUGGGUAUGUAUAUUAUUCAGCAAUAAAGUACUGCAGCCUUAGCUUCACUGCAUUUUGCCAGAUCAUAGAACAUACUUUUAAUUUAUUGCCUGUACUGCUCUGUUUUGUAGAAAAAAAAAAAGACGAGGUUUUUUGAGAUUCAUUGUAAGCGGCUGCUGUUGCUUGUUAAUUUUAUUAGUUUUGGUGGAGCCUUUGUUGCUGGUUGCAAACAUCUGGCCAGAGAGCGCAGAUUGGUAUUCCCACCACAUGCUGCCUUUACUGGUAACUGUCCCAGCAGCAGCUUCUUGUCUUGAGAAGGCACUUUGUGUGCUUCCAGAGGCAUUUUUCAUUCCAAGGUAGCUCUUUCUGUCAGGGUUUUUUUUUUCCGGUUUUGCUGCAAAUUUAAGGUUGUGCAGUUGAGUACAAUAUAAAGUACAUAGAUGCUGGAGACAUUAUCUGUGUGAUGCCUUAAGCAGCUAAGUGUAACCUAAACAUUGUUACUGAAGUGUAACAGCAGCAUAUGGUAGAUUUAUUUUUGAAUUACAGGCAAAUGGGCACAUUUGCUUUGAGUCGAUGCAAAGUUAUGGCUUCAUUUAGGUGGCCUAGUUCUUGAUGAACAUGUUUGACAUAUCCAUAGUCAUGCAGCUACUUCCUGUUUACUUGUAAGCUGCUCUUUUUCUGCGUGUUUUUUUUUUUUCGGCAGUUGUUUGCAAGGUUAUAUUGCUUGCUUUAUCCAAACCAGUGGACAAUAUGCUACUCUUCGUGUCUAAAAUAACAUGAGGUUAUAUGGCAUUUAAUUUUUCAGAGGUUAUGAUGUGUAGCUAAAAAAAAAUUGGUGUUAACUUUGUUUGAUACAUUAAUUAUUUACAGGAUACUUUGAGAUGCACUUAGAAGCAACUUAUUUAUGUGAAGCACACUAGUUCUAUUUUACUGUAUUGAGAUGCAGAGAGUGAACAUGACUGUUCACUUUAUGGGACUGCUACAGUGUAUGCAUGCACAACUUAAAGUAGCAGCCCUGUUAUGUUACAGAGUUCACUGUAGAAAAUACUGCUAUAAUAUAGCUGCUGUUAGUAUGUUAUAUAUACACUACACAUUUUUUUCAACGUCCACUGUUUCAGUGCAUGGUGAUGCAUCACGGUUUAUGUUUAUAUUUCCCUCAUUCUGAGUUGUUGUGUUCCAUCGUAUUCAUGUUCAUGAAGCUAUAUACAUUUCUGUCUAGUACGCACAGAAAUCUUGUCCAAGUGUGUGGAUUUGUAAAUUUAGGCCUGUUAUGUUAUUUGGACAUUCUCUUUUGGGGAUGAGCAGGCAGCUGGGAUUGAGACUGGAAACACAUUCAACUGAAUGUAUUUCUUCUAUUUUUCAUCAGUAGUGCACACAAUACAGGGCUUUCAUGUUAGUGGCAUGAAUAUGCAGAAUAGUUUGGGUUCCUUUUUACGUUUUAAAGCAUAAUCAAGCCUUCCUUUCUGAACAGCUUUGCUAGGAUCAGCAGGGAGGAACUACAGAUUUGUUAUAGUAAGUCUGUUAUUCAAGCCCUUGGGGAGAAAUUGCAAAGUGAGAAAUGAGAAAACACAGAAUUUUGUUAAAAUGUUUGUCUUCAUCUUGGGUAGGUUUCGGUGUACUUAACACGUUUACUGCAUUCCCUCCUGAUACUACAUAAGGAAAGGUUGGCCUCUCUAUUAUCAGGCUCCAAUAUAUGGAUAUAUCAGAUGCAUAAUUUCUCCAAGAAACAAAAUGACGACAUUGUAAGAUGGAAAGUAUGCAAAUUCCAGGUUCAUGUGUUAUUUUGUGUAGACAGCUUUCUGUAUUCUCAUAAUUGAAUGGUUCCCAACAAAUUGACUUGCAAGGUUUUUCUGCGAACUCUUGGCGUGUUUUGUCCUGGAGGUUAACCUCUUGAUAUGGCAAAAUAAUUGGGUGUUAGGAAAACUACGGCAGUAGUUAAAGACUAAUUCUGUGUGACCCAUUCUGACAGGUCUACUGGUUGUAAAUUACAAUGUUAGAGUCAUCAAAAUAUUUAUGGUGUGGAAAACAACUUUGUAGUAAGUAAGCUAAUGAGAAUAGCUGCUUAUGCUGUGGCUUUGUAGAAGUAGGAGCAGCAUGUAGCGAGCAGUAUUGUUUUGCCAUACUGAAAUUUCACAGGGGUGGUGGUCAGGUACUGCAUAUUGUGUGCAUGGAGAAUUUUACGAAUGAACAUUGAGCUGUUAAUGCAUUGCUUCAUGGAGAAUAUGCUGCACAAGUCAAGCUCGAUGGUUUUCUGUACACAGAUAGCAACAAAGCAGCCAAAUUCAGUAUUCUUGUUUUGUGUCGUUUGGUGAACUUAAGUGAAAAGUGUCAUUCUGCAGGGAUGCCAAGGUUUUAAUAGUAUGCAGGGUGUUGCUACGGCAAGUGGAGGUACCUGUUUUGACGAAAAGUGACAGGCACAACCACGCUGGUGCCGUCUGCCGAAGUUAGCAACAUGAUUGGUUCAACUGCGAACUCCGUUGGGUCAUUGCAGUCGUAGAAACGGGGAGCGCCAUAACGCAUCGCGAGUGCCAUUUGCAGGCGUCUUUCAGCUCCCAGGUUGUGGUGCAAAACACGACACCCUUCUGUGACUUUGAGACUGCGCGGAAAGGGAACACUGCCGACGAGUUAACUGCUCGCGUAAUUUUUCGGCUUCCGCUUCGGCUUCACUCCAUACAAACGCUUCUUGCCGGUACAGCAGCGGUGUGGCACUGGGACUGACAGCCUUUGCUUAUCGCCCCGAGGGCGUUGACCCGCGGCUUGUGCGCGUAGACGAGGAGCGGUUGUUGUGAGAAGUUCCCACUGCUGCACUUGGCGGUAGAGCACUUUCUGGCCACAGCAGCGCGGUGCGUUAGCGCCGGCCAACUUGCAUGAGCUGUAGUGUAUGCAUUUCUGCUGUGUGGUAAAUUCCCUUCGAGUAUCAAAUUGGAUUCGCCGAAGUCCAUUGAACGUAAAAAUUUGUUUACGAGAAAAAGAGCGCGUUCAUUUUUUUUUUUUAAUAUUGGUCGGCCGCAAGUAUUGGCCGCAAGUACCAGCGUGGUUGUGGACACGUGUAUGUCACGUUCACUUUUUUUUUCUCUUUAUUUAACCUUGACACUCUGCUGAAGCGCCAUGUAUGUACUUGUUCAUGCUCGGGUGUGCGGAUUUUUGCACCUUCACGAUGACGCGCACACACACACACACACACACACAAGCUUCGGUGGUCAGGUUUGUUCAUGAUUUUGUUUUGUCGGUGUAAAUAAACAGAAGCUUUUCCUUUAAA